GAUGAACGCUGGCGGCGUGCCUAAUACAUGCAAGUCGAGCGAACAGACGAGGAGCUUGCUCCUCUGACGUUAGCGGCGGACGGGUGAGUAACACGUGGAUAACCUACCUAUAAGACUGGGAUAACUUCGGGAAACCGGAGCUAAUACCGGAUAAUAUAUUGAACCGCAUAGUUCAAUAGUGAAAGACGGUUUUGCUGUCACUUAUAGAUGGAUCCGCGCCGCAUUAGCUAGUUGGUAAGGUAACGGCUUACCAAGGCGACGAUGCGUAGCCGGCCUGAGAGGGUGAUCGGCCACACUGGAACUGAGACACGGUCCAGACUCCUACGGGAGGCAGCAGUAGGGAAUCUUCCGCAAUGGGCGAAAGCCUGACGGAGCAACGCCGCGUGAGUGAUGAAGGUCUUCGGAUCGUAAAACUCUGUUAUUAGGGAAGAACAAAUGUGUAAGUAACUAUGCACGUCUUGACGGUACCUAAGCAGAAAGCCACGGCUAACUACGU
rnacentral:rRNA from 1 species